GACGAACGCUGGCGGCGUGCCUAAUACAUGCAAGUAGAACGCACAGUUUAUACCGUAGCUUGCUACACCAUAGACUGUGAGUUGCGAACGGGUGAGUAACGCGUAGGUAACCUGCCUGGUAGCGGGGGAUAACUAUUGGAAACGAUAGCUAAUACCGCAUAAUAUUGAUUAUUGCAUGAUAAUUGAUUGAAAGAUGCUAUUGCAUCACUACCAGAUGGACCUGCGUUGUAUUAGCUAGUAGGUGAGGUAACGGCUCACCUAGGCGACGAUACAUAGCCGACCUGAGAGGGUGAUCGGCCCAACUGGGACUGGGACACGGCCCAGACUCCUACGGGAGGGAGCAGUAGGGAAUCUUCGGCAAUGGACGAAAGUCUGACCGGGCAACGCCGCGUGAGUGAAGAAGGUUUUCGGAUCGUAAAGCUCUGUUGUAAGAGAAGAACGGGUGUGAGAGUGGAAAGUUCACACUGUGACGGUAUCUUACCAGAAAGGGACGGCUAACUACGUG
rnacentral:rRNA from 1 species